AUUUAUAUAGUUUAAAUAUAAAACAUUAUAUUUUCAUUAUAAAAAUAAUAAAUUUUAUUUAUAAAUU
rnacentral:tRNA from 1 species